rnacentral:rRNA from 1 species
GACGAACGCUGGCGGCGUGCUUAACACAUGCAAGUCGAACGGAAAGGCCCUGCUUUUGUGGGGUGCUCGAGUGGCGAACGGGUGAGUAACACGUGAGUAACCUGCCCUUGACUUUGGGAUAACUUCAGGAAACUGGGGCUAAUACCGGAUAGGAGCUCCUGCUGCAUGGUGGGGGUUGGAAAGUUUCGGCGGUUGGGGAUGGACUCGCGGCUUAUCAGCUUGUUGGUGGGGUAGUGGCUUACCAAGGCUUUGACGGGUAGCCGGCCUGAGAGGGUGACCGGCCCCAUUGGGACUGAGAUACGGCACAGACUCCUACGGGAGGCAGCAGUGGGGAAUAUUGCACAAUGGGCGGAAGCCUGAUGCAGCAACGCCGCGUGCGGGAUGACGGCCUUCGGGUUGUAAACCGCUUUCGCCUGUGACGAAGCGUGAGUGACGGUAAUGGGUAAAGAAGCACCGGCUAACUACGUG